rnacentral:rRNA from 1 species
AGAGUUUGAUCCUGGCUCAGGAUGAACGCUGGCGGCGUGCCUAACACAUGCAAGUCGAACGGUGCCUUCGGGCACAGUGGCGAACGGGUGCGUAACACGUGGAGGACCUGCCCUGGAGACGGGGAUAACCACUGGAAGCGGUGGCUAAUACCCGAUGGCCUCGCGAGAGGAAAGCUCCGGCGCUCCAGGAGGGCUCCGCGGCCUAUCAGCUAGUUGGUGGGGUAACGGCUCACCAAGGCAUGACGGGUAGCUGGCCUGAGAGGGUGGUCAGCCACAUGGGGACUGAGAGACGGCCCCAACUCCUACGGGAGGCAGCAGUGAGGGAUCUUGCACAAUGGGGGCAACCCUGAUGCAGCAACGCCGCGUGGAGGAUGACGUCCUUCGGGAUGUAAACUCCUUUUCAGGGGGAGCAGACAGGAGCGUACCCCUGGAAUCAGUCACGGCUAAUAACGUGCCAGCAGCCGCGGUAACAC